rnacentral:rRNA from 1 species
GACGAACGCUGGCGGCGUGCUUAACACAUGCAAGUCGAACGGAAAGGCCCUGCUUUUGUGGGGUGCUCGAGUGGCGAACGGGUGAGUAACACGUGAGUAACCUGCCCUUGACUUUGGGAUAACUUCAGGAAACUGGGGCUAAUACCGGAUAGGAGCUCCUGCUGCAUGGUGGGGGUUGGAAAGUUUCGGCGGUUGGGGAUGGACUCGCGGCUUAUCAGCUUGUUGGUGGGGUAGUGGCUUACCAAGGCUUUGACGGGUAGCCGGCCUGAGAGGGUGACCGGCCACAUUGGGACUGAGAUACGGCCCAGAAUCCUACGGGAGGCAGCAGUGGGGAAUAUUGAAAAAUGGGCGGAAGCCUGAUGCAGCAACGCCGCGUGCGGGAUGACGGCCUUCGGGUUGUAAACCGCUUUCGCCUGUGACGAAGCGUGAGUGACGGUAAUGGGUAAAGAAGCACCGGCUAACUACGUG